GGGCUCACACAAGCGGUGGAGCAUGUGGUUCAAUUCGAAGCAACGCGCAGAACCUUACCUGGGCUUGACAUGCUAGGAUUAUCCCUAUGAAAGUAGGGUAGGCCCUUCGGGGUACAACUAGUACAGGUGCUGCAUGGCUGUCGUCAGCUCGUGUCGUGAGAUGUCGGGUUAAGUCCCAUAACGAGCGAAACCUUUGCCCUUAGUUACCAGCGGGUUAUGCCGGGGACUCUAAGGGGACUGCCGGUGUCAAACCGGAGGAAGGUGGAGAUGACGUCAAGUCCUCAUGGCCUUUAUGCCCAGGGCCACACACGUGCUACAAUGGGAUGGACAAAGCGAACCUAGAACGCAAGUUCAUGGAAAUCGCAAAAAUCAUCCCCCAGUUCAGAUCGGAGGCUGCAACUCGCCUCCGUGAAGUUGGAAUCGCUAGUAAUCGCGGAUCAGCUACGCCGCGGUGAAUGUGUUCCUGAGCCUU
rnacentral:rRNA from 1 species